rnacentral:rRNA from 1 species
CAGGCCUAACACAUGCAAGUCGAACGGUAGCAGGAUGUGCUUGCACAUCGCUGACGAGUGGCGGACGGGUGAGUAAUGCUUGGGAACUUGCCUUUGCGAGGGGGAUAACAGUUGGAAACGACUGCUAAUACCGCAUAAUGUGCACUUGUGUACCAAACGGGGCUUAGGCUCCGGCGCAAAGAGAGGCCCAAGUGAGAUUAGCUAGUUGGUGGGGUAAAGGCUCACCAAGGCGACGAUCUCUAGCUGUUCUGAGAGGAAGAUCAGCCACACUGGAACUGAGACACGGUCCAGACUCCUACGGGAGGCAGCAGUGGGGAAUAUUGCACAAUGGGGGAAACCCUGAUGCAGCCAUGCCGCGUGUGUGAAGAAGGCCUUCGGGUUGUAAAGCACUUUCAGUUGUGAGGAAAAGUGAGUAGUUAAUACCUGCUCACCGUGACGUUAACAACAGAAGAAGCACCGGCUAACUCCGUGCCAGCAGCCGCGGUAAUACGGAGGGUGCGAGCGUUAAUCGGAAUUACUGGGCGUAAAGCGCACGCAGGCGGUUUGUUAAGCUAGAUGUGAAAGCCCCGAGCUCAACUUGGGAUGGUCAUUUAGAACUGGCAGACUAGAGUCUUGGAGAGGGGAGUGGAAUUCCAGGUGUAGCGGUGAAUGCGUAGAUAUCUGGAGGAACAUCAGUGGCGAAGGCGACUCCCUGGCCAAAGACUGACGCUCAUGUGCGAAAGUGUGGGUAGCGAACAGGAUUAGAUACCCUGGUAGUCCACACCGUAAACGCUGUCUACUAGCUGUGUGUGCCUUUAAGGCGUGCGUAGCGAAGCUAACGCGAUAA